rnacentral:rRNA from 1 species
GACGAACGCUGGCGGCGUGCUUAACACAUGCAAGUCGAACGGAAAGGCCCUGCUUUUGUGGGGUGCUCGAGUGGCGCGCGGGGGAGUAACACGUGAGUAACCUACCCUUGACUGAGGGAUAACUUCAGGAAACUGGGGCUAAUACCGGAUAGGAGCUCCUGCUUCAUGGUGGUGGUUGGAAAGUGUCGGCGGUGUGUGAUGGCUUCGCGUCUUAUAAGCUUGUUGGUGGGGUGGUGGCUCACCAUGGCUAUGAGGGGUAGCCGGCCUGAGAGGGUGCCCGGCAACUUGGGAACGAGGUAACGGCCCUAACCCCUACGGGAGGAAGAGGGGGGAAUAUUGCACAAUGGGCGGAAGCCUGAUGUAGCAACGCCGCGUGCGGGAUGACGGCCUUCGGGUUGUAAACCGUUUUCGCCUGUGACGAAGCGUGAGUGACGGUAACGGGUAAAGAAGCACCGGCUAACUACGUG